rnacentral:tRNA from 3 species
GGCGACAUAGCCAAGUGGUAAGGCACAGGUCUGCAACACCUUUAUCACCGGUUCAAAUCCGGUUGUCGCCUCCA